GUAAAUGUGUUAUGCAUAACUAGUAAUUUAUGGUACUUGUUGUGUUCUUAACAAUUUCAGAUCAUCCUUGGCUAGGUUAUAUAUAUAGGUUGGCUAUGAUUAAUGUUCAAUACAACACUUAUAGGAGGAAGUGAACCUUGAACUCCUCCUCGCAAAAAUUAACAUUUCUUCUCCUUUAUAAAAAAAACAAAAAAAAAAAGAUACCUCGAUUAAAAAUGUGAAAAAAUGGUCGGCUUCAUGACAAACACUUAGAUCCACGUUCGUGCAUUACAACCUCAUCACUACUAUCUUUUAUCCCAUAUUAUUUUCUCAUUUUUUGUUUUCCUUUAAUUUUAACAUUAUCAAAAGUUUUUACAUUGGUUCAAUUUGCGUGUACAUAUUAAACAGUUCUAUUGAUAUAAACACAUAUUUAUGCAUUGCGAGAAAUUUCACUUUCCUUGGGAAAUUUUGGAGUUGGAUCAAAUUAUAAGUGUGGACAUAACGUUGAAACCAGCGUCGACAACUAAAGUUCGUAGUUAAAAAACUGCACAUAUAUAUACCACUGCUUUAAUUGGUGAUCCAUUUGGACGAAAAUAACGAUUUAUAUCCCAACAAAAUACAAUUACCAAAUUUUAUUCAUAGAAAAAUAUAGACAGAAAUAUAAUUCUUUGCCAUUCCUCUAUUAGUCUCUGUGAUUUUUCAAAAUGGAAGUCAAAAAAUAUCUUUGCUCAAAAGUCAAUUUAUGUAUACUGUAGUUCUCACUUGCCCUUAUAUAAGUCUAUUUAGAUAUUUUAUCAAAUGAGAUAAAGAAAAGAAAAAAAAAACAAUCACGACCCAUAUGAUAUGAAGCAGGCCUCUCUGAUCUCUAAUGGCACACAGAUUCAUUUUAAUAUGAAACGACACGACAGGGACUAAAAUUUUAUAUAAAUUGUUUGAUCUCAAUAAUUAGACCAUACGUUGCAAAAAGUAAAACAAAAU
rnacentral:lncRNA from 1 species